UACGUAGGGGGCAAGCGUUGUCCGGAUUUAUUGGGCGUAAAGAGCGUGUAGGCGGCCAGGUAGGUCAGCUGUGAAAACUCGAGGCUCAACCUCGAGACGUCGGUUGAAACCAUCUGGCUAGAGUCCGGAGGAGGAGAGUGGAAUUCCCGGUGUAGCGGUGAAAUGCGCAGAUAUCGGGAAGAACACCCGUGGCGAAGGCGGCUCUCUGGGACGGUACUGACGCUGAGACGCGAAAGCGUGGGGAGCGAACAGG
rnacentral:rRNA from 1 species